rnacentral:snRNA from 1 species
AGCUGAAGGUCUGGCUGUGACAUCUGUCACCCCAUUGAUUGCCAGGAUUGAUUUGGCCGAUCUGUCUAGGCAGGUGUCCCCUUCCAUCCUCAUAGUUCCACGUGUCUUACUCUUGAGCAUACUCUUGCACGCACAGUCAAAGAAGAUGACUUUCCUGAAUAGAAGAGAACCAUUCUUUGGUCAAGGGUAUAAUGGUUGCUGUGUUCCCUGGUAGAACCUCCAAACAAAAUGUCCUAGCUGGGUGUAGUGACUCAAGCCUAUAAUCCCAACUCUUUGGGAAGCUGAGGUGAGAG